UGCUAUUAAAGGUUAUCUCUUUUAUACUAAGUACGUUAUAUAAUUUAUGCAUUGUCUUUUGAUAUUACCCCUUAUUUGUAGUUAUAUGUGAGAUUUGACUUCUAAAACUCACAUAUGGUGCAUAUCUAGUUUUGUCCUUAAAAUCGGGUAUUACACUAUUUCACUUGCUCAUACUUUCAUAGGAUCAUAUACCUACGACACACCUACAACUAAGAGUAUACUAUACUUUCAUCUACUUUUUAACGAACAUAUUUUGCAGCUAGAGAUUAAUCGAACAGCUCAAUUACAAACACCAAAACCAACUUAUGUAUCUAAAUAAACAUAUAUAAAAAUGCCAGCUUUAUCUUCACGGCUCUAUAGCUCUAACACAUUUGUAUUGAAUAAACAAUUCCAUCGGACUGGCAACCAUAUGCACCAUGAACAGGUAACAAAACAACUAUCAGAUCUCAUACGUCCAUAAAACUAAAAAAAAAAAUCGUACUACUUGCGAAAGCCUUGCAUGAUUUAAUUCUUAAACAGAUUCGUCUACCUGCGACACAGUCCCUUUAACCAUUCCGAAGAGACCAUCAAGCGCAUCCAUCUGUGGAUCUAGGACAAACAACUGUACAAUAUAUCCCAAGGUAUAUACUGUUAAAUGCUGUAAAUAUAAGCCAUCU
rnacentral:lncRNA from 1 species